AUUGAACGCUGGCGGCAGGCUUAACACAUGCAAGUCGAGCGAGCGGCGGACGGGUGAGUAAUGUCUGGGAAACUGCCCGAUGGAGGGGGAUAACUACUGGAAACGGUGGCUAAUACCGCAUACAAUCAGAGGUGCCCAGAUGGGAUUAGCUAGUAGGUGGGGUAAUGGCUCACCUAGGCGACGAUCCCUAGCUGGUCUGAGAGGAUGACCAGCCACACUGGGACUGAGACACGGCCCAGACUCCUACGGGAGGCAGCAGUGGGGAAUAUUGCACAAUGGGCGAAAGCCUGAUGCAGCCAUGCCGCGUGUAUGAUGAAGGCCUUCGGGUUGUAAAGCACUUUCAGCGGGGAGGCGGUAUUUGCAGAAGAAGCACCGGCUAACUACGUGCCAGCAGCCGCGGUAAUAC
rnacentral:rRNA from 1 species